AGCCUUAGGAAUUUAUUUAAGGUUUAGCCUGCCCAAUGUUUUAAUUAAUGGCCGCAGUACCUUAACUGUGCAAAGGUAGCAUAAUCAAUUGGCUUUUAAAUGGAGUCUUGUAUGAAAGGAGUGACGUGGUAAAGCUGUCUCAAUUUUGUUUUAUUUAACUUACUAAAAAGGUGAAAAAUCCUUUAAUUAUGAAAAAAGACGAGAAGACCCUUAGAGUUUUUAUAAAAGUUUAUUAACAUAAGCUAAGUAUUUGUUGGGGCGACAAGGAAACAAAUAACUUUCCUGUUUUACUAGACGUGUUUUCAAAGUAAGAUUAAACUACCUAAGGGAUAACAGCAUAAUUCUUUUUGAGUUUGUGACCUCGAUGUUGGACUAGGAACUAACCAGACAAGCCGUCUGGCUUUGUGGCUCUGUUCGAGCUUUUUCCUCCU
rnacentral:rRNA from 1 species